CAGUGGCGGCAGCAGCAGCAGCACAAGGAGCUGCUAGGCUAGAAGCACAGAGCUGAGCUGAGGCCAUGCAUCUUUUCACACUCACUGCAGGGCUGGGCCUGCUCUCUGUGGUUCGAGCCACGAUGCCUCCUCUGACUCCUGCCAGUCCUGAGGAGGUGAUGGCCCUGGGGAGGGAGGACUGAGGGUAGCAACUGGCUUCCAAGCUCAGACCUUGGACUGGGUGUGUCUCAGGCCUGCAGAUGGAAGCCACAGGUGAUGUUGAAAAAAAUACCUCUCUUACGUGCUUGGUGGGAUCUUCUCAGGUGGGAGUGGGGCUUGAGCAGGUGUUCCAGGCCAUGGUCAUGUCUUUCUUCUCACUGUGUGCACUUAGAGACUAAGAGGCUGCUGGGGGACAGGGGAGGCUUGCUAGAUGGACGCUGUCCUGGCUCUAGCUGGACUCCCAAGAAUAGCCUGCCUUCCUUCCUUCCUUCCUUCCUUCCUUCCUUCCUUCCUUCCUUCCUUCCUUCCUUCCUUUCUCUCAGUGUGUGUGUGUGUGUGUGUGUGUGUGUGUGUGUGCUUCAGAGACACUUCUUAUAUUCUUCCAAUGAGUUGAUUUCAGAUUUCAUCCUGGGUAAGGCCCCUGUGACUGUUGUGUAUCUGGGAGACAGAGCCAACUUCCUAAUGAUUUCAGGAGAAACUGAGAAGUCUGUUCCUUGCCACACCUCAGCACUUUGACUGUAGACAGUGAAGCAGACCGUGGUCAGUCGGUACAGUCAUGGUUCUCUCAGGUCACCUCCUCAGCCAUGUCCAUUCUGCCCUGUCCUCCGGCUCAGCUCCCUGAAGUGAAAGGUCAACCUGUCCUCCAGAUCACCUUUCUCAGUUCCCUCUGGAUGCCUGUGCAGGGUCUGUGGUCAGGGCUCUUCCCAGGAAGUGUUUCUCCUAGGACGCCUGUGCCCUGUCUGCUUGGUUCUACCUACUGCUGCUGUUGGUGAGAGACAGCCAUGGUCAGGACUCCUCCUGACAUCCCGGCAUCCCGGACCCUUCCAUCUUGCACUGAGACCUGACUGCAUUCUCCUCCUGCCUCUCACCCACCGUCUUCCAGAUUCCCUUCUCCCUGCAACUGUGUGCACUUGUGACCUCCAACUGCAGAUCUUGGGAAAGGGGUACAUAAGGUGCUGGGCAGGAGACUUGCCUAUUCCUGAGUCGAGAUGGAAAGACCCGCUGCCUCCCUUCACCUUUGAGAGAAACAGUCUUGAUGAGUUGGAGUUCAGGAUGAACCUGACGAAACCCAUUGGCUGUAUUCAGUACAAGCUGCCUCUGUAUGAGGGAGAGGACCCUGGUAUGUUCCUCACAGGGUGGAGGCAUGUCAUCUACAUCCAUUUCCUGCCUGGGAAGGAGUCUGCCAUUGCCUACUUCAGGGGCAACAUGAACUAUCAGUACUACCAGCUGCUGCUGCUCAUGGGCCGCACCCUGAGACCUAACCCAGAUGCUGAGAGGAUCUUCAAGGAGUCUGUGAUGAGUAUAAUGCCCCAAACUGGAAGGAUAAUUACCCCUCCCCAUGCUGGUAGGGAAGGAUUUCCUCGUCCCCUCUCUCCUUUCUCCUCACUCAGGCUUGUGCUCUGGAUAUUUCUCUUAUACACAAGAAACCACAUGAACAGCAUCAUGUUUCAUAGCUCAUCUAAGUUUUCUGGUUUUUGUCCCUCUACAGAAGCCUGUGUGUUUGUCCUAGACCCCCAGUGCACUAAGGGAGUGCUGCAGUAUCCAUGCAGAAAGCAGGAGAUGGGACCUGGCUGACCCAGAGGUGCAGACACCCACAUGUAGAACUCUCAGUGUCAAAGAGCACAGGGCCUAACACCCACUCCUCCCCCAAGUCUGCAUUCAAUAAAUUCGGUGGAUAUCACUCAA